AGGAUGAACGCUGGCGGCGUGCCUAACACAUGCAAGUCGAACGUCCUUCUUCUUCGGAAGAAGGGAGUGGCGGACGGGUGAGUACCACGUGGGUUAUCUACCGUGAGGUGAGGAAUACCGGCGAGAAAUCGCCGACAAGACCGCAUAGGCUCGAUGCAAGUCGAGCAAAGCUCGCGUCGCAAGAGGGAGCGCCACACGAGGAGCCUGCGCCCGAUUAGCUGGCUGGUGGAGUAAUGGUUCACCAGGGCGACGAUCGGUAGCUGGUCUGAGAGGACGAUCAGCCACACUGGGAUUGAGAACGGCCCAGACUCCUACGGGGGCAGCAGUGAGGAAUUUUCGCAAUGGGGGCAAACCCUGAACGAGCAACGCCGCGUGCAGGAAGAAGGUUUUCGAUCGUAAAACUGCUUUUCUCGGGGAAGAGAAACGGACGGUACCCGAGGAAGAAGCCCCGGCUAACUACGUGCCAGCAGCCGC
rnacentral:rRNA from 1 species